rnacentral:sRNA from 1 species
AAAAUGGUACUCCUGCGCUUAUCCUAAAGGGUUGAUAAGCAUCAUGUUAAACGUUUGCGUAUGCUUCGCGUUUUCUGACGCGAUCGGUUUCAUUGUUGCAAUCUGAGUGACGUCGGGAAGGGGAAUGACGUCAGGAAACACGGCAAGAAACGCGGUGUUGCAGGUGUUGCGCAACGGAAAAGAAGAAUUCUAUCAAGGCUGUGAGCAGAAAACGAGAUUUUUACCGGUAUAUAUGGGAAAAUCUAUACAGUUAUUAAUUGUAAGGUCUUUAAGGAGCGAAGUAUGGACACCAAUCUGAAGUUUUCUCUGCUGACCACUGUCGGCGCGCUGCUGGUGAUUAUCGCCUUCAGUUUUACCGCGGUAAUGAAUUGAUAA